rnacentral:rRNA from 1 species
CGCAAUCUACCUUGUACAGGAGGAUAGCCCUGGGAAACUGGGAUUAAUACUCCAUAGUCUUCAAUGAUCGCAUGAGAAAUGAAGUAAAGCUACGGCGGUACAAGAUGAGCGUGCACCCCAUUAGAUUGUUGGUGAGGUAACGGCUCACCAAGUCGACGAUGGGUAGCUGGCGUGAGAGCGCGACCAGCCACACUGGCACUGAGACACGGGCCAG